rnacentral:rRNA from 1 species
UCCUGGCUCAGGACGAACGCUGGCGGCGCGCCUAACACAUGCAAGUCGAACGAGCGAGAGAGAGCUUGCUUUCUCGAGCGAGUGGCGAACGGGUGAGUAACGCGUGAGGAACCUGCCUCAAAGAGGGGGACAACAGUUGGAAACGACUGCUAAUACCGCAUAAGCCCACGGCUCGGCAUCGAGCAGAGGGAAAAGGAGCAAUCCGCUUUGAGAUGGCCUCGCGUCCGAUUAGCUAGUUGGUGAGGUAACGGCCCACCAAGGCGACGAUCGGUAGCCGGACUGAGAGGUUGAACGGCCACAUUGGGACUGAGACACGGCCCAGACUCCUACGGGAGGCAGCAGUGGGGAAUAUUGCACAAUGGGGGAAACCCUGAUGCAGCGACGCCGCGUGGAGGAAGAAGGUCUUCGGAUUGUAAACUCCUGUUGUUGAGGAAGAUAAUGACGGUACUCAACAAGGAAGUGACGGCUAACUACGUGCCAGCAGCCGCGGUAAAACGUAGGUCACAAGCGUUGUCCGGAAUUACUGGGUGUAAAGGGAGCGCAGGCGGGAAGACAAGUUGGAAGUGAAAUCCAUGGGCUCAACCCAUGAACUGCUUUCAAAACUGUUUUUCUUGAGUAGUGCAGAGGUAGGCGGAAUUCCCGGUGUAGCGGUGGAAUGCGUAGAUAUCGGGAGGAACACCAGUGGCGAAGGCGGCCUACUGGGCACCAACUGACGCUGAGGCUCGAAAGUGUGGGUAGCAAACAGGAUUAGAUACCCUGGUAGUCCACACUGUAAACGAUGAUUACUAGGUGUUGGAGGAUUGACCCCUUCAGUGCCGCAGUUAACACAAUAAGUAAUCCACCUGGGGAGUACGACCGCAAGGUUGAAACUCAAAGGAAUUGACGGGGGCCCGCACAAGCGGAGGAACAUGUGGUUUAAUUCGAUGAUACGCGAGGAACCUUACCCGGGCUUGAAUUGCAGAGGAAGGAUUUGGAGACAAUGACGCCCUUCGGGGUCUCUGUGAAGGUGCUGCAUGGUUGUCGUCAGCUCGUGCCGUGAGGUGUCGGCUCAAGUGCCAUAACGAGCGCAACCCCUCUCCUUAGUUGCCAUCAGGUUAAGCUGGGCACUCUGGGGACACUGCCACCGUAAGGUGUGAGGAAGGUGGGGAUGACGUCAAAUCAGCACGGCCCUUACGUCCGGGGCUACACACGUGUUACAAUGGCAGGUACAGAGAGACGGUUGUACGUAAGUACGAUCAAAUCCUUAAAGCCUGUCUCAGUUCGGACUGGGGUCUGCAACCCGACCCCACGAAGCUGGAUUCGCUAGUAAUCGCGCAUCAGCCAUGGCGCGGUGAAUACGUUCCCGGGCCUUGUACACACCGCCCGUCAAGCCAUGAAAGCCGGGGGCGCCUAAAGUCCGUGACCGUAAGGAGCGGCCUAGGGCGAAACUGGUAAUUGGGGCUAAGUCGUAACAAGGUA